UUGCUAGCGUCGGCAGCAGAUAUACUAAAAUUGUAACGAUACAGAUUAGCAUGAUUCUGCGUAAGGAUGACAUGCAAAGUCGUGAAGCGUUCAUAAUUUUU
rnacentral:snRNA from 1 species